rnacentral:rRNA from 1 species
AACGAACGCUGGCGGCAUGCCUAACACAUGCAAGUCGAACGGAUGUAGCAAUACAUUAGUGGCGCACGGGAUAGUAAUGCGUGGGGAUCUGCCUCAUAGUUCGGAAUAACACCGGGAAACUGGUGCUAAUACCGGAUACGCCCUUCGGGGGAAAGUUUUUCGCUAUGAGAGGAGCCCGCGUUGGAUUAGCUAGUUGGUGAGGUAAUGGCUCACCAAGGCGACGAUCCAUAGCUGGUCUGAGAGGACGAUCAGCAUCACUGGGACUGAGACACGGCCCAGACUCCUGCGGGCGGCAGCAGUGGGGAAUAUUGGACAAUGGGGGAAACCCUGAUCCAGCAAUGCCGCGUGGGUGAUGAAGGUCUUCGGAUUGUAAAGCCCUUUUGGCAGGGACGAUGAUGACGGUACCUGCAGAAUAAGCUCCGGCUAACUUCGUGCCAGCCGCCGCAGUAA